GUGGGGAAUAUUGGACAAUGGGGGGAACCCUGAUCCAGCCAUGCCGCGUGUGUGAAGAAGGCCUUUUGGUUGUAAAGCACUUUAAGCGAGGAGGAGGCUACCGAGAUUAAUACUCUUGGAUAGUGGACGUUACUCGCAGAAUAAGCACCGGCUAACUCUGUGCCAGCAGCCGCGGUAAUACAGAGGGUGCGAGCGUUAAUCGGAUUUACUGGGCGUAAAGCGUGCGUAGGCGGCUGAAUAAGUCGGAUGUGAAAUCCCAGAGCUUAACUUGGGAAUUGCAUACGAUACUGUUUGGCUAGAGUAUGGGGGAGGAUGGUAGAAUUCCAGGUGUAGCGGUGAAAUGCGUAGAGAUCUGGAGGAAUACCGAUGGCGAAGGCAGCCAUCUGGCCUAAUACUGACGCUGAGGUACGAAAGCAUGGGGAGCAAACAGGAUUAGAAACCCUGGUAGUCC
rnacentral:rRNA from 1 species